rnacentral:SRP_RNA from 1 species
CAGCCCUCAUGCGGCGGCAUCUUUGUGAACUCCCCCAGGCCGGAAACGGAGCAAGGGUAGCGGAGCUCUGCCGGGUGCAUGAGGGUCUUCU